rnacentral:rRNA from 1 species
CAAGCGGCGGAGCAUGCGGAUUAAUUCGAUGCAACGCGAAGAACCUUACCAAGGCUUGACAUAUAGAGGAAGGCGGCAGAAAUGUACGCCCCAGCAAUGGUCUCUAUACAGGUGGUGCAUGGUUGUCGUCAGCUCGUGUCGUGAGAUGUUGGGUUAAGUCCCGCAACGAGCGCAACCCUCGUCCUAUGUUGCCAGCACGUAAUGGUGGGAACUCAUGGGAGACUGCCGGGGUCAACUCGGAGGAAGGUGGGGAUGACGUCAAAUCAUCAUGCCCCUUAUGUCUUGGGCUUCACGCAUGCUACAAUGGCCGGUACAGAGGGCUGCAAUACCGUAAGGUGGAGCGAAUCCCAAAAAGCCGGUCUCAGUUCGGAUUGAGGUCUGCAACUCGACCUCAUGAAGUCGGAGUCGCUAGUAAUCGCAGAUCAGCAACGCUGCGGUGAAUACGUUCCCGGGCCUUGUACACACCGCCCGUCAAGUCACGAAAGUC